UACGUAGGGGGCGAGCGUUGUCCGGAAUUAUUGGGCGUAAAGAGCUCGUAGGCGGUUUGUCGCGUCUGCUGUGAAAACUGGGGGCUCAACCCCCAGCCUGCAGUGGGUACGGGCAGACUAGAGUGCGGUAGGGGAGAUUGGAAUUCCUGGUGUAGCGGUGGAAUGCGCAGAUAUCAGGAGGAACACCGAUGGCGAAGGCAGAUCUCUGGGCCGUAACUGACGCUGAGGAGCGAAAGCAUGGGGAGCGAACAGG
rnacentral:rRNA from 1 species